UACGAAGGGGGCUAGCGUUGUUCGGAAUUACUGGGCGUAAAGCGCACGUAGGCGGGUUGUUAAGUCAGGGGUGAAAUCCCGGAGCUCAACUCCGGAACUGCCUUUGAUACUGGCAAUCUAGAGUUCGGAAGAGGUGAGUGGAAUUCCCAGUGUAGAGGUGAAAUUCGUAGAGAUUGGGAAGAACACCAGUGGCGAAGGCGGCUCACUGGUCCGAUACUGACGCUGAGGUGCGAAAGCGUGGGGAGCAAACAGG
rnacentral:rRNA from 1 species